ACAGGAUUAGAUACCCUGGGUAGUCCACGCCGUAAACGAUGUCGACUUGGAGGCUGUUCCCUUGAGGAGUGGCUUCCGGAGCUAACGCGUUAAGUCGACCGCCUGGGGAGUACGGCCGCAAGGUUAAAACUCAAAUGAAUUGACGGGGGCCCGCACAAGCGGUGGAGCAUGUGGUUUAAUUCGAUGCAACGCGAAGAACCUUACCUACUCUUGACAUCCAGAGAACUUUCCAGAGAUGGAUUGGUGCCUUCGGGAACUCUGAGACAGGUGCUGCAUGGCUGUCGUCAGCUCGUGUUGUGAAAUGUUGGGUUAAGUCCCGCAACGAGCGCAACCCUUAUCCUUUGUUGCCAGCGAUUCGGUCGGGAACUCAAAGGAGACUGCCGGUGAUAAACCGGAGGAAGGUGGGGAUGACGUCAAGUCAUCAUGGCCCUUACGAGUAGGGCUACACACGUGCUACAAUGGCGCAUACAAAGAGAAGCGACCUCGCGAGAGCAAGCGGACCUCAUAAAGUGCGUCGUAGUCCGGAUCGGAGUCUGCAACUCGACUCCUUGAAGUCGGAAUCGCUAGUAAUCGUGGAUCAGAAUGCCACGGUGAAUACGUUCCCGGGCCUUGUACACACCGCCCGUCACACCAUGGGAGUGGGUUGCAAAAGAAGUAGGUAGCUUAACCUUCGGGAGGGCGCUUACCACUUUGUGAUUCAUGACUGGGGUGAAGUCGUAACAAGGUAGC
rnacentral:rRNA from 1 species